UACGUAGGGUGCGAGCGUUGUCCGGAAUUAUUGGGCGUAAAGAGCUCGUAGGCGGUGUGUCACGUCGUUCGUGAAAACCUGCAGCUUAACUGUGGGCGUGCGGUCGAUACGGGCAUCACUGGAGUUCGGCAGGGGAGACUGGAAUUCCUAGUGUAGCGGUGAAAUGCGCAGAUAUCAGGAGGAACACCGGUGGCGAAGGCGGGUCUCUGGGCCGAUACUGACGCUGAGGAGCGAAAGCGUGGGGGAGCAAACAGG
rnacentral:rRNA from 1 species